rnacentral:rRNA from 1 species
UACGUAGGGUGCGAGCGUUAAUCGGAAUUACUGGGCGUAAAGCGUGCGCAGGCGGUUCGUUAAGUCGGAUGUGAAAGCCCUCGGCUCAACUGAGGAAGUGCACCCGAAACUGGCGAGCUUGAGUACGAAAGAGGAUCGCGGAAUUCCCGGUGUAGAGGUGAAAUUCGUAGAUAUCGGGAGGAACACCGGUGGCGAAGGCAGGUCUCUGGGCCGUAACUGACGCUGAGGAGCGAAAGCGUGGGGAGCGAACAGG